GCGUGAUACAGAGCAGGCCCACAGUCGACCCCAAACAGAUCCUCUCAUUUCACCACUUAUAGUCGACCGACGGCUUUGGCAUUUCUAACAGAUUACCCUCACAUUAGAUCCUCCCCUUCACUCUUACCUACAGCACUUAUACCGAAGCGCUUUGUCCAGCUAGUGGACGAACCCCAACGGUGGAGCUCAUCGUUGUGUUAAAGUUGCGGUGCUGCAGAGUCACACCCAGCUCUAUUUUUUCUCCCCCCUUCACUCCCCCCCCCCCCCCCCCACAGCACCUUGCCUUGUUAAUCUAAUUUCACGCUUCACUUCCACAGGAAAUGACCUCGUCCUGCGAGCAGUGUGAUGUGGAGUGGAUAAAGAAGGUGGGGGACGAACAGGUUAACCUGGCCCUGGCCUACACCGAGCUGACGGAGGAGCUAGGCCGGCUCCAAGCUCUGAGCUCCAAGCAGACGGAGAUCCUGAGGAAAGCCUCGCAGGAGCAAGCUAGCCCAGGUUAGCGUUAGCCUAGCCUGCUGCGUGAGACACCCCCUCCACACUCUGAUUGGUUCGCUGUGUGAUGGACGUCUGUGCACUUCAUGCUGGGCUUGAACCCAUGAACAAACAGGACUCAGUUUAUUUGAAAACAGAUGGGCAGACAUCAUCGUAGAUCGAGUUGGAUCUAACACAUCUUCAGUGAUUUGCCAGGCGUGCAUUAACACUAGAUUCUGUUCGGAUCUAAUAUUAAAUGAACACGGUGGCUCUAAACACAAGGAUAUUAUUAACGAUGAAACGUUAUUUAAAUGUACGUUGUACUCAACAUAACCUGAUAUAAUACUGAGCCAAGUGUGAUGUUUGAUUUUAGUCCAGUUCAAAAGAAUAUCAAUGAUCACGCACACAAACAUCAACGAUCAGGCCCACAAAAAUCAACACAUCGUUAACAUCAAAAGAUGAACCUGAAUGUGUUGUGUUGUGUUGUGUUGUGUUGUGCUUGAGUCACACCUUAUUUUUAGCCCAGUGCUUGAUUAAAGUCUAUUUACUUUUAACUAUGCGCGUCUCCCCCUGGCUCUCAUUCGCUUUAAAAAUCACACACACUUUCAGAGGUCUGCGUCUCUCGUCGCGAACCAUCAGCCCGGCCGCGGGGUUUAGCUCCACAGCGCGCUGGUGGCACAGCUCCCGUCGGUGGUUUCCUUACUAUUAAGAGCGUGUUGUGUGAUACACAGGAUGCCCCCCCCUCCCCGUCUCUAACCACAGUACGCCUCCGCUCUCUACCCUCCGCCCAGCCCAGCGCUGCCUGGGUGCUGCUUUAGGUGUCGCAACAGCAACACAGACUCCCCUUCUCCGGAAUCCAGUCUUCGUGCUCUGUGCGUCGUGUUUAUUGGAAACCGCCCAUCGCGUCUCGUGGUUCUUAGACGCUCACAGGGCAGUCCCCGUGUCUGGGGGGCCUCUCCCGGAAACGGCCCUGUCUUAAAAAAC
ensembl:lncRNA